rnacentral:rRNA from 1 species
GACGAACGCUGGCGGCGUGCCUAAUACAUGCAAGUAGAACGCUGAAGGAGGAGCUUGCUUCUCUGGAUGAGUUGCGAACGGGUGAGUAACGCGUAGGUAACCUGCCUGGUAGCGGGGGAUAACUAUUGGAAACGAUAGCUAAUACCGCAUAAUAGUAGAUGUCGCAUGACAUUUGCUUAAAAGGUGCAAUUGCAUCACUACCAGAUGGACCUGCGUUGUAUUAGCUAGUUGGUGAGGUAACGGCUCACCAAGGCAACGAUACAUAGCCGACCUGAGAGGGUGAUCGGCCACACUGGGACUGAGACACGGCCCAGACUCCUACGGGAGGCAGCAGUAGGGAAUCUUCGGCAAUGGACGGAAGUCUGACCGAGCAACGCCGCGUGAGUGAAGAAGGUUGUCGGAUCGUAAAGCUCUGUUGUAAGAGAAGAACGAGUGUGAGAGUGGAAAGUUCACACUGUGACGGUAUCUUACCAGAAAGGGACGGCUAACUACGUG